rnacentral:lncRNA from 1 species
AUGAGGUCUCAUCCCACCCUUUGUGGUUCCUCCUCCUCCGAAUCCCUCUUUGGAAGCCAACGGAGAUGUUGGCACCUUCCCAAGCUUCUCCUUGGGUGGCUUCUCCAGGACUUCUUCUCCUCUUCCAGCUUCUCCUCCAUGGAUAACCAAGCGUUUGAACCCCACGGAGAGAGUUUUCCACCAGGAAAAGAAGGACCAAAGAAAGAGGCCAAAAAGAGCAACAGGUCCCUCCUGAAGAGCUUCUUGGCUUGUCUCCUGGCUUGUGGCAUCACCACAGUGUCCUCACCUUGGCCUUGGUUCUCCAACGAUGCUUCCAAGAGGGAUCCGGAUGGUGGGAAUGUUGGAAUGUCUCCUUCACCCUCCCAUGGGAGAAGGUUGGAUGUGAAAUUCCAGUUCCUGAAUCAUCUCAAGAAGUCUCAAGGUAAAGGUUGGACCUUCAUGGUUUGGUGUCACCUCCAAGAGGUUGGCUCCAUGGAAGGUGGUGUCCAUCUUCUUCUAAUCCUUUGGGAAAACAGAGCUUCUUGCUCCUUCCCCCAUCCUGGAUCAGAGGAGGAUCCAAUGGGAUGAGCUUGGAAAGGUCCUUCAAGCUCAUCUCCUCCCAUUAGGGCCACCUAAAGCAGGUCGCUCCAAGCCCCAUCCAACGUGGCCUUCAACGUUGCCAAGGAUGGAGCAUCUCCCACCUCUUUGGGACCAAUGUCCCAGCACUCACAUGGAGCAGAAUUCCCUCUAUCCCAUCUCCAUGUCCUCUUUGGUAGGUUCAAGCCAUUCCCAUUAUCCCAUUAUCCAUGUCCAAAGCUCAUCUCCGGGUCUCUUGAAGGUCCUUGGAGCUGCUCUAAGGUCUCCUCAAGAGCUUCUCCAUGGGCUUUACUCCAUCCAUCAAUGCUUGGAGUUGAAGGACCUUGCUCAUGGCUUGGUGGAACUCCAUGAGCUUCCCAUGAUCCCACCUUCUCCAGGUCCUUCUGGAUCCCAUCCCACCCCUCGCUGAAGGUCCUGCACCCCCUUGUCUACGUUGCCCGCAAAGCUGGAGUAAGCUUGGAGUAGCUCCUACCACCAGGUAGCGAGGAAACACCUUGAAGAGCCCUUUUACUACGCCUUUACUCACAGCAAGGAGGCGCUUACAAGGGGAAAACAGGUUGGAGAAGCUUUGGGAAAGGAGGUUGGGAGAGUAAGGAUUCGGGAGAACACUUUGGGAAUGCUUCCAGCUCCCGAAAUUGAAGCUCUUCCCAAAGGAAGAUCCCAAAUCCAAGCCGGGAAUGCCCCAAAAAGAGGAAGCACAAGUCAAGUUGCUCCUCUUUUGGAGGAGCAAGAAUCCUGUAGGAUACAAGGAGAAGGAUGGGAAUAGUUGGGAAUGCGACGACCACCUCAUCCCAGGGUGAAUCCAUGGGGAAAACAGGGAAUUGGAGCUUUCCAAGCGGGAAUUCCUUGCUUGGGAAG